rnacentral:rRNA from 1 species
UACACUCCUACGGGAGGCAGCAGUGGGGAAUUUUGGACAAUGGGCGAAAGCCUGAUCCAGCAAUGCCGCGUGAGUGAAGAAGGCCUUCGGGUUGUAAAGCUCUUUUGUCAGGGAAGAAACGGUGAGAGCUAAUAUCUCUUGCUAAUGACGGUACCUGAAGAAUAAGCACCGGCUAACUACGUGCCAGCAGCCGCGGUAAUACGUAGGGUGCAAGCGUUAAUCGGAAUUACUGGGCGUAAAGCGUGCGCAGGCGGUGUUGUAAGUCUGAUGUGAAAUCCCCGGGCUCAACCUGGGAAUUGCAUUGGAGACUGCAAGGCUAGAAUCUGGCAGAGGGGGGUAGAAUUCCACGUGUAGCAGUGAAAUGCGUAGAUAUGUGGAGGAACACCGAUGGCGAAGGCAGCCCCCUGGGUCAAGAUUGACGCUCAUGCACGAAAGCGUGGGGAGCAAACAGGAUUAGAUACCCGGGUAGUCCCAUGA